GACGUAGGGGGCCAGCGUUGUUCGGAAUUACUGGGUGUAAAGGGUUCGUAGGCGGUGUGGCAAGUUGGGAGUGAAAUCUCUGGGCUCAACCCAGAGGCUGCUUCCAAAACUGCUGUGCUUGAGUGUGAGGGAGGCUCGUGGAAUUGCAGGUGUAGCGGUGAAAUGCGUAGAUAUCUGCAGGAACACCCGUGGCGAAAGCGGCGAGCUGGAUCACAACUGACGCUGAGGAACGAAAGCUAGGGGAGCAAACAGG
rnacentral:rRNA from 1 species